GCCGAAGUGGCGGAAUUGGUAGACGCGCUGGUCUCAAAAACCAGUGAACCUCGGUUCGUGCCGGUUCAAGUCCGGCCUUCGGUACCA
rnacentral:tRNA from 1 species